AUUGAACGCUGGCGGCAGGCCUAACACAUGCAAGUCGAACGAGUGGCGGACGGGUGAGUAAUGUCUGGGAAACUGCCCGAUGGAGGGGGAAAACUACUGGAAACAGUAGCUAAUACCGCAUACCAUCGGGUGUGCCCAGAUGGGAUUAUCUAGUAGGUGGGGUAACGGCUCACCUAGGCGACGAUCCCUAGCUGGUCUGAGGGGAUGAACAGCCAAACUGGGACUGAGACACGGUCCAGACUCCGACGGGAGGCAGCAGGGGGGAAUAUUGCACAAUGGGCGAAAGCCUGAUGCAGCCAUGCCGCGUGUAUGAAGAAGGCCCUCGGGUUGUAAAGUACUUUCAGCCGGGAGGCGUUACCCACAGAAGAAGCAUCGGCUAACUCCGUGCCAGCAGCCGCGGUAAUAC
rnacentral:rRNA from 1 species